rnacentral:lncRNA from 1 species
UGACUAUUGUUAAAGUCAGAAUAGCUAGCCAAAGCAGCUUCAAAGCUGUAGUUCCUUCAGCAAGGGUAAAGGCAUAUAACUUUUAUUGUAGGAUUUCUGUGAAUGUAAUUUUGUGUGGUCUGUUUUAUUCCCAGAGAUGACCCCUGCCUUCCUCACAGUGUCUUUUCAUAAGGGAAACUUUUCCAAAUGUACAUAACUGGCUGAGUGCCUUCAGCAUUAACAGGCUUAUUAACCACUAAUCCAGCACAACAAUUGUGAUGUGCUGCGAAAUAGCUGCAGUGUCAGUUCACUGUUCUUUUUAAUCAAAAGAUGUGAUAAACUCAAUGUGGCAAAGACACUGUCAUACCUGCUCAUUACUUGUUUUGAUCUCCAGAUUCUGAGUUUGGUUUUCAAAUUGAUUUUCUUAGAGUUCUGUGUGACUCUGAUAAAGACCUCUCCUUAUCUUUUUGUGAAGAUUUUUUUACAAAUGGAAGUGCUCUGUUUACAGGCAGAUAUCUCUGUAGCACAAUAG